AGAUUGAACGCUGGCGGGAUGCUUUACACAUGCAAGUCGAACGGCAGCGCGGACUUCGGUCUGGCGGCGAGUGGCGAACGGGUGAGUAAUAUAUCGGAACGUGCCCAGUAGCGGGGGAUAACUACGCGAAAGCGUGGCUAAUACCGCAUACGCCCUACGGGGGAAGGGGGGGAUUCUUCGAGAACCUCUCACUAUUGGAGCGGCCGAUAUCAGAUUAGCUAGUUGGUGAGGUAAAGGCUCACCGAAGGCGACGAUCUGUAGCUGGUUUGACGGAGGACCGACCAGCCACACGUCGGGACUGACGACACGGCCCAGACUCCGUACGGGACGCCGAGCGAGCGGGGUAAUUUGGAACAAGUCGGGGGAAACCCUGGAUACGACGGCCUACGUCCCGGCGUACG
rnacentral:rRNA from 1 species